CAAUUAUUGCUUCUAUGCUGCUGCCAAUCACAUUCGUCGAGGUGAAUUGCAUUGAUUUUGUUGUCUAUCUGAGUUCAUUUGUGGAAAUACAUGAAUAGUGUAUUUAAUGUUUUCUUUAAGAAAUAUAGUUGAACAUAUAAUUACAAAGCAAUGUACAACUACUACAUUUCUAAACCUUGUGGAAGUUGAUUAUUGUCCUACCGUGUAUAAAAUGAAUUGUUUUGUGUUUCCAAAAAUAGAUCUGCUUUUGAAUUUGUGGUAUCAACAUAUUCCAUCUCGUUUAUCUUUAUGGUAUCAAGUUUUCAUAUUCAUGCUUCAUAGUAUGACAAUAAUUUAUGAUCACAAUUCAUAUUGCACACAGCCUUGAUUCUACUGAGAGGUUUGCGCUCUGCGCUCUGUAAGCUUACAGGAUCAUUGGACUAAGGAUGACUCUUUAAAUGUAACUAUAUGACGCGGAGGGUUCUUUAAGUUAAAGUUUAAUAAGCAAGGUGCUUAAGCACAUGCCUUUGCAUACAGGUUUAUGAAAGCAUUGUAGUUUUUGAUCGUUUGUGGUGCCAUUCAUGUCACAUACUUUGGAACAAUGUAGUUGAGUUUGUGAGCUCCCCUAUUAAUUUUAAGUAAUAUGUCCCUGAUGUUGUAGCAAGCUUUGUUUGUUGGUUUUGACUAUAUAUUGGCACAUUACGAAUAAUUUGAGAUAACUGUUAAAGUUUGUAAGCCUGAUCAGUAUUCUUGUUUUUACAUUUAGAAAGUAUUGUUAGUUCAACAAAGGAACUCUAUUCAGUGGCUAUCUAGGAGACAGCCCAGCAGCUUAGCCAAAGAGAAGAGUUUGGUGAGAGAAACAUUUUCAUCGGUGGAGAUCAAAAUCCAGCAAAAUUGAAAAUUUGGAUUUUUGCUUAUUUCCUCUUCUAGCUUGAAGUAGAAGUGCUAUGCCCCGCCAAGGCAUUGACUUAGGAGGACUCGGAGCUGAGGCUUCAUUUUUGUUUUAUUGUUAUUUGUUGAAUGUAAGCCCAGGAUUGUAUUUGUGUUGAGUUGAAACUCCAUUUUGUGUAACCAAGAAUGUUCUUGGAUAAAUUUGUA